rnacentral:rRNA from 1 species
AUGCAAGUCGGGCGGUAGCAGGGAGAAAGCUUGCUUUCUCCGCUGACGAGCGGCGGACGGGUGAGUAAUGUCUGGGGAUCUGCCUGAUGGAGGGGGAUAACUACUGGAAACGGUAGCUAAUACCGCAUAACGUCGCAAGACCAAAGUGGGGGACCUUCGGGCCUCAUGCCAUCAGAUGAACCCAGAUGGGAUUAGCUAGUAGGUGGGGUAAUGGCUCACCUAGGCGACGAUCCCUAGCUGGUCUGAGAGGAUGACCAGCCACACUGGAACUGAGACACGGUCCAGACUCCUACGGGAGGCAGCAGUGGGGAAUAUUGCACAAUGGGCGCAAGCCUGAUGCAGCCAUGCCGCGUGUAUGAAGAAGGCCUUCGGGUUGUAAAGUACUUUCAGUAGGGAGGAAGGUGUGAGCGUUAAUAGCGUUC